GGUGGCUCAGUGGUAGAGUGCCUGCCUCGCAUGCAUGAGGUCCUGGGUUCGAUUCCUCAGCACCA
rnacentral:tRNA from 1 species